GGCCUCGUAGCAUAGUGGUUAAUGCGCUGGUCUUGUAAACCAGAGAUCGGUGGUUCAAAUCCGCCCGGGGCCU